rnacentral:rRNA from 1 species
GAUGAACGCUGGCGGCGUGCCUAAUACAUGCCAGUCGAGCGAACAGACGAGGAGCUUGCUCCUCUGACGUUAGCGGCGGACGGGUGAGUAACACGUGGAUAACCUACCUAUAAGACUGGGAUAACUUCGGGAAACCGGAGCUAAUACCGGAUAACAUGUUGAACCGCGUGGUUCAACAGUGAAAGACGGUCUUGCUGUCACUUAUAGAUGGAUCCGCGCCGCAUUAGCUAGUUGGUAAGGUAACGGGUUACCAAGGCAACGAUGCGUAGCCGACCGGAGAGGGUGAUCGGCCACACUGGAACUGAGACACGGUCCAGACUCCUACGGGAGGCAGCAGUAGGGAAUCUUCCGCAAUGGGCGAAAGCCUGACGGAGCAACGCCGCGUGAGUGAAGAAGGUCUUCGGAUCGUAAAACUCUGUUAUUAGGGAAGAACAAAUGUGUAAGUAACUAUGCACGUCUUGACGGUACCUAAUCAGAAAGCCACGGCUAACUACGUG